rnacentral:rRNA from 1 species
CCUACGGGGGGUUGCAGUGAGGAAUAUUGGUCAAUGGGCGCGAGCCUGAACCAGCCAAGUCGCGUGAGGGAAGACGGCCCUACGGGUUGUAAACCUCUUUUGCCGGGGAGCAACGGGCGCCACGUGUGGCGCCACUGAGAGUACCCGGAGAACAAGCAUCGGCUAACUCCGUGCCAGCAGCCGCGGUAAUACGGAGGAUGCGAGCGUUAUCCGGAUUUAUUGGGGUUAAAGGUUGCGUGGGUGGAUCGUGAAGUCAGUGGUAAAAUUGAGGGGCUCAACCCCGGCCCGCCAUUGAAACUGGCGCUCUUGAGUGGAAGAGAAGUAUGCGGAAUGCGUGGUGUAGCGGUGAAAUGCAUAGAUAUCACGCAGAACCCCGAUUGCGAAGGCAGCAUGCCGGCUUCCGACUGACGCUGAAGCACGAAAGCGUGGGGAUCGAACAGGAUUAGAUACCCUUGUAGUC